CCUACGGGGGGCAGCAGUGGGGGAUAUUGCACAAUGGGGGGAACCCUGAUGCAGCGACGCCGCGUGGGUGAAGAAGCGCCUCGGCGCGUAAAGCCCUGUCAGCAGGGAAGAAAAUGACGGUACCUGAAGAAGAAGCCCCGGCUAACUACGUGCCAGCAGCCGCGGUAAUACGGAGGGGGCAAGCGGUAUCCGGAUUUACUGGGUGUACAGGUGGCGCAGACGGCGAUGCAAUCCAGGAGUGAAAGCCGGGGGCCCAACCCCGGGACUGCACUUGGAACUGGGUGGCGGGAGUGCAGGAGGGGGAGGCGGAAUUCGUGGGGUAGCGGUGAAAGGCGUAGAUAGCGGGAGGAAGAGUGGUGGCGAAGGCGGGUUGGUGGACAUCAACUGACGUUGAGGCACGAAGGCGGGGGGAGCAAACAGGAUUAGAUACCCUAGUAGUC
rnacentral:rRNA from 1 species